rnacentral:rRNA from 1 species
AUGGUAGGAUAGAGGCCUACCAUGGUGGUAACGGGUAACGGGGUGUUAGGGCACGACACCGGAGAGGGAGCCUGAGAAACGGCUACCACAUCCNAGGAAGGCAGCAGGCGCGCAAAUUACCCAAUCCCGACACGGGGAGGUAGUGACAAUAAAUAACAAUACGGGGUUCUUUGAAUCUUGUAAUUGGAAUGAGUACAAUUUAAAUCUCUUAACGAGGAACAAUUGGAGGGCAAGUCUGGUGCCAGCAGCCGCGGUAAUUCCAGCUCCAAUAGCGUAUAUNAAAGUUGUUGCAGUUAAAAAGCUCGUAGUUGAAUUUCGGGAUCAAUACGUCGGUCGUGCUUUCGGGUACGUACUGGCGUCAUUGGUUUCUCCUUUCUGACGAACCAUGAUGUCAUUAAUUUGGUGUUAUGGGGAGUUAGGACUGUUACUUUGAAAAAAUUAGAGUGUUUAAAGCAGGCAUUAGCUUGAAUACAUUAGCAUGGAAUAAUGAAAUAGGACGUUCGAUCCUAUNUUGUUGGUUUCUAGGAUCAACGUAAUGAUUAAUAGGGAUAGUUGGGGGCAUUAGUAUUCAAUUGUCAGAGGUGAAAUUCUUGGAUUUAUUGAAGACUAACUACUGCGAAAGCAUUUGCCAAGGAUGUUUUCAUUAAUCAAGAACGAAAGUUAGGGGAUCGAAGACGAUCAGAUACCGUCGUAGUCUUAACCAUAAACUAUGCCGACNAGGGAUCGGAUGAUGUUAAUUUUUUAAUGACUCANUCGGCGCCUUACGGGAAACCAAAGUGUUUGGG